CACAUGGUCCCUAGUACAAAUUCACUCGAACGCACCUGUAACAUACCUGUCUGUAACAGGUAUGACUUGACAUGUAGAUAUCUCUUACCUGUAACAUACCUGUUACAGACAGGUAUGACUUGACAUGUAGAUAUCUAUAUAUGUUACCUGUAACACAUACCCUUGGUGUGAACAGUUACAGAUACGACGAGUUGACAUGUAGAUAUCUGUUACCUGUAAAACAUACCUUUGGUGUGAACAGUUACAGGCAGGUAUGAGUUGGCAGCAGUGGCAAUCUGUUAAUAUUUAUCACUUUACUGUUAAAAA